AUGUAAUACGUCUUCUGCAUUAGACGACCCCAUUACUUUGCACAAAUAUUAAGCUGCGGUAAAAACAUCACCAGUAGGGAAAAUCCUUGGUCCAUAUCGAUUAACCACCAGAUAAUAUUUGGCUCUAUAUUUCUUACUAACAUUUAACUCUCGUACUGGAAUGUCCCUCCAUCACUUUCUGCAGUUUUUAUCACUGUUCCCAAAUAUAGCAAAAGGAAGUUAUGGGGAUAAUACCACUACAUGCUGAUACUACCGGAGCUUGUACAUAAGCUCCAAAAAAGGUGAUUGGGCAUUUAAAGCACUUUGUUGUCUGUCAUUAACCAAGCAUACUAAAUACUACACUAUUAGUAUUCCUCUUUCUCUCUCUUCUAUCCACAUAUAGAAACAGUGAGGACGGAAUAGAUUGCAAAAGACCUCCGGCUAUUAGAAGAAUU